GACAAGCUCAAGUUCUUUGUUCUCUUCUGUGCAAAGGACUAGCUUAGAAACUCACCAUGAAAUUUAGCUUGAACUGGAUUUUCCUUCUGACAAUUUUCCAAGGUGCCCAGUGUGAUGUGCAGCUGUUGGAGUCUGGGGGAGAUGUGAGGCAGCCUGGGGAUUCUCUGCGUCUGUCAUGCAAAGCUUCUGGAUUCACCUUCAGCAGCUAUCACAUGCACUGGGUCCGCCAGGCUCCAGGGAAGGGAUUGAAAUGGGUUGCGAGAAUUAAUACUGGUGGAAGUGGUAUAUACUAUGCAGACUCUGUGAAAGGUCGAUUCACCAUUUCCAGAGAUGAUGGCAACAGCAUGUUAUAUCUACAGAUGACUUCCCUUAAAACUGAGGAUACAGCUGUGUAUUACUGUGCAAGUGACACAGUGAGGAAAAGGAAUGUCAGACUAGACAGAAACUUCCCCUGCCAGGAGGCAAGAAGCCAGUGA